rnacentral:rRNA from 1 species
ACGCUCGACACCUACGGGAGCAGCAGUGGGGAAUAUUGCACAAUGGAGGAAACUCUGAUGCAGCGACGCCGCGUGAGGGAAGAAGGUCUUCGGAUUGUAAACCUCUGUUGUCAGGGACGAUGAUGACGGUACCUGACGAGGAAGCCACGGCUAACUACGUGCCAGCAGCCGCGGUAAUCUGAGCGGGCGUGGCGAAGGCG